rnacentral:lncRNA from 1 species
AGAGCGAGGAAGCGGGCGCGAUGCAGUCAUAUUUAGGAUGUUAAAGGCCGAAUCUUGCUUGUUUAAGAGCCGAGUUUCUGGAAUUGAUUGUGUAACGUAAAAGGGUUAUCUCUCUGAUAGAUGCACAAGUCAGAAUCUAAAAUUAAAUUAAAACUUUUACUUCACUAAAUGUGACCAUCAGAUUUACUUUGAAAGUGAGAAAACAAGAUCACCAGGAUGUUUUAGAGCGGAGUUAGUGUCACCGGUAAUUGGAAAAGGUGUAACUUAUCUUAGUAAAAAUGCAGAAUACCGAAAGACUUCACGUUAUACGAUUUCAAGUCCGAUUUGCAUCAUACGUCUAAGAACCAAGAAAUUCUACAAUAGAAAAAAUAGAUGAACCUACAAUUUCGGGCCAGUGUCGUUUUCUAGAUAGUUUAAAAGGAGUUAAAAAUGAAAUGGAUGUGUUACAAAAGGAUCGAUAAAAUGAACACAUUGGAAUACAAAAGGAAAUGAAGAGUGCCGAAACUGUGAAGCGGAAAGUUUUAAUUCGCGCGAAAUUCAAAUUAGCGAACUAGCCGUGUACUGCAGACGCAUAAACUUUGCCGUUUUAAUAAUGCGAGAGUUUUGAUUAAACGAACGCGGACGAAGCGACGAACGGUUUUCGAGGCGAAAAUGAAAUUUCCUGAUAGUAUAUAGAGGGAAGAAAAAGAUGCUGAAUCGUCGAAAUCGCACGGAAAGGUGUCGACCAAAUAAUUAGAUGGUUCGAGAAAGGAUUUUGCUGUCACAAGGUUUUAAAUCCUCCUUUUUGGUCGACAAAGACUCCAACGAAGUCGAAGUCAUCGAUGAAGACAACGAUCAGAACGAGAUGAUUUCAACAAACACUUUGAUUUUCCCCCACAACGCACUAAAAUCGGAAUGACAUUUUCGGAAUGUUUGGAUUUGUGAAAAAUUCGGAAAUGAUUUUUCGUCAUACUUUAACCAAGCUGUAUGGAGAGAUACCAUUGGGAGAUCCUACAACAUAGCGACCUUUAUCCACAAAGCGAAGGAUCAAAUAACUUUGUUUCAGUCCGCCACCAAAAGAUGCAACUUAAAAUUUAUAAUUGGACGGAUUGUAUUCGUCUCACUUCCGGCUGUUCCUACCUACCACUAUCGAUUUCACGUGCACUGUGAUAACAUCUGCAUCAUUUGUGGCGCCACCCCUGAUAAUUAAGUGCAGGUUUAAAUCAUAGGUUUGCUGUGUACCGCAGCGGCAUUAUUCAAAGGAUGCGUAAUUGGUGUAGCUCGGCCAUAUGACGUUUCAGUAGAGCGAGAACGAAAAUAGUACAGUGAUUUGACAAUAAUAAAGUGCAACGAACCGAAGUACUGAGCUGGCACAAAAAAAAACGGGCGGAGGCCAGAAAAUUUCCAAUAGAGACCAACUGUCAACAAACACCUACUGUAUCGAUGAACGGGCGGGAAAAGGGGAGCGAAUCCGAAACGCGGAAAACAGAACCCAACAAAAAAAAUCUAAUAUCCGGACGCUGCCGAGGGCGAACUUUGCAUUAUUUUCGCGCGAUAAUAAAUUUCACCCAGGACGGAAUUUUGCGUGCGUAUGCACCAGCGGUCGUCAGUGCUCAUAUCAUAUUCAAGUUGGGGGCUCGACCGGUCGGAAUUCGUGUCUGAAAUUUACGGUUGCGGUCGUGUUAUAUUUAUCCUAGACAGUACCACUACUGGGAGGUAGUGUAGUAGGUAUUCUACUCUACUGAUGCUUGUUCCAAAACAUCUUUUGAUAUAUUAUGCAUUUUCUAUAAGCACCAUUUCCUUCUUCGUCUUCUUCAAAGCAAAAAUAUAUAUCACAUUGUUACAUACUCCAAUUAGUGAACCCAUCCAACUAUUAUAGAAAUCGAUAAAAGGCUUUACAAGGCACUCAUUAUGACUUAGCCUUAAGGUUACAACCUCAUCAUAAAGACUAAUCUAAUACAGUAAAACGUCGAUAUAAUGGACCUCGAAUAUAACGGACAAAAUAUUUUUAAGACAUAUUUAAAUACAAAUGUUCAUAGCGAUCAUAGAUAAAAUCCAACUUGGGUUAUUCCCCAAGUUGCUUUAUUCUAUGUUCAUAGAUAAACUUGGGGUAUCUCCUGAGUUAUUAUUUUUCAUUGAAC